UCUCCUUCACUUUCUCCUCCGCUUAUGCUCAGAUUCCGCAUUCAGGACUCACGUUUCACUGAAACAACUCAUGUUCACCCCCUGCACCUCUUUCACCCUCUCUCCCUCUCUUUGCAGCGCUUCUCCAUCCAUCCAUUAUUCACUUCCGGCUUGCCCCUUCCCUCUCCUGCCCCCUCCACCUCGCUCCUGCCUCCCGAUCCAUCCCACCCUUUUAUGUAAUGUUCAGUUAUUUCACUCUUUUGGUCUCCCCAUCCCCUGACUUCCCCUCUGCUCUGUCUCAUCAUCUUUGAGAUGCUACUCAACCCUAUAUGCCCCAGGGCCUGCAUCAAAAGUUUGCAAAACUCCACGCAGAGUCACGCGGGAGACCUCUACGUGGGCCCCAGGACAAGGAGCCGUUUGCCAGCAUGAGAUGAGAGCACAGCUCAGUGAAAGAAGACCUUCUUUGGAGCUGGAAGCUGUUUAGGAAGAAAGCUGCAUACUCUGGAUGGUGUGGGGGGAGAAUGAAAGAAUGAAAGACUAAGAUGUCACGCGUGGGCGGAGGAGCGAAGAAGAGUAUGGAAAGCCAGAUAGUCAACAUUCUCUGGAGAUAAAAGCGGCGUUUGGAAGUUUUGGGGCCAUUUUUUGGGUUGUAUUUGAGUCGUUUAAAUGUUAGUUUUUUAAAAAACAACAACAAACAAACCUUGAAUAUGGCAUUUUUACGUUACGUUUGUGUCCCUCCAAUGGCAUUAAAAGCAAUGCAUAAGAUAAUAAGCUCCACCUGACAGAUUUUGACAGUCAGUAGAAUUACAAAUUCUUCGUUCAGUCGCUCAGAUACAAGGUCAGAGCCGACCAGUUCACUACAGAUAUUACCAGCUAAUAAACCAUUGUUCACAUUUAUUUAUUUUGGGAUUUUCCAAUUUGUGUUAAUUUGCUUGAUAAUUAAUUUAUAAUUACAAUAUCUGUGUUUUUUAAAGAAUGUUUGGUGUGCCCUCUUUUGAUUUUCUGUUACUCUCCCAUUCCGUGAGCUGUCUACGUGUGUUUUCUUGGUCAGGUUAGUUCCUACCAAAAUGGAGUCACCUGCAUGUGCCAUAGACAGUCCUGUUGUGUUUGAAAACAAAAGCUUCACCUGCAUGAUCAUUCACUCACCAUCCUGAGGAAAUUUUAGUAAUUAGACCAUCAUCUGGUUUAUUCUGUCUGGUUUGGUGAUUGCUGUGUCCUUGGUGCACUCUAACUGCAGCAGUUUCACAUAGCCAUCAUCUACUUAAAUCUCUUCUUAGAUGACCUCAGUCAUACUCUCACAUUACCCAUUGUUCUUGUCUGAUUAAUCUUAAUACUUCUGUUUAAUGAUUAAGUUUACCUUGUCUGUCUUCAUCUAUCGUAACUAAUUCAUUCCAAUUUAUUGUAUCAUAUUAUAGAUUUUCUAAAAUUAGCUCAUAACUCAAAUUGCUUUUUUGUAUUGCUUGUUGUUAUCUAGUGUCUACCACAGGACAGGUUCAUCAUCUGAGUCUUUGUUGCUCUCAAAGUUUCUUCCACGUGAUCUGAAAUUACUUUUUCUUUAGUACUGUUGCCUUGCAAUUGGACUGUGAUUUCUUUAAAGAUGGUUUGUGACAAUACCUGUUGUGAAAAGUAUUAUGCAAGUACAUUUGAACUGAAUGAUACAUGGGCAAGCCCAUAAAAUUUAAGAUGAUUUAAUGAAAUUAUUUCAUUACCAUGA